rnacentral:lncRNA from 1 species
UGUGUGUCUGUCUGUGGGCAUGUCUGUGUGUGUGUGUCUGUCUAAGUGUGUGUGUGUGUGUGUGUCUGUCUGUCUGUGUAUGUGUCUAUGUGUCUUUGUGUCUGUGUGUGUCUGUGUCUGUCUCUGUGUAUCUGUCUCUGUGUGUGUCUCUGUGUGUGUUUGUGUGUGUGUGUCUUUCUGUGUGUGUCUGUGUCUGUCUCUGUGUAUCUGUCUGUGUGUGUGUCUCUGUGUGUGUUUGUGUGUGUGUCUUUCUGUGUAUGUGUGUGUCUGUCUGUGUGUAUCUGGGUGUGUGUCUGUUUGUCUGUGUGUGUGCAUGUGUGCAUGUGUGUGUCUUCCAGCACAAAAGGCAGCCUGCAUUCUGGUGUUGCAUUUUUCAUGCCCACCAGCCUCUGUCAUCAGUGUGGUUCCUAUUAGCUGGAGAGCUGCCUGGAAAGGCUGUGAUGUUUCACCUUCCUCUUCAGAGCAAGACCUACAGUUGCCCUGUUGCCAUGGCAGUCACUAAAGGGAUAAGAAGGUAACUCGCACAGGGAGGAUGAUACCCCUGCCAGCUCCAGUGCCUGGAGAGGAUGAAGAGGAGGCUGUCUAAAGAUAAUCUCUUUCAUCCGUUCUCAAUUUAAAAGGCAGUCGACUGCUUCUGCCUAACUUCUCUUCAGGGAGGUUUCCACAGAUUACAGAAGUACCUUUUUAGUACCCAGGGCACAUUCCAUCCUGUCUCGAAGUCCCUUUCUUCAGCUUCUUCUAGAACUUCUGGUGAACAAGGGUGCUAAGAGCAAAGCACUUCUAAGAUUCAACCACUCAAACUCUGAAACAAAUGUUGGAGGGCUACUCCAUCCGCAUGGCCGCAACCCAACAUGGCAUUUACCUCAAAAGACCCAGUGACUGCUCCCAAAAGCAGUGUGGACGGAUUGUGGGAAGACACAGCAUGAUGGAGCUCCUGAAGUAAGAAGAUACAAGUUACGAUCUAAGCUGAAAGGCUGGUCAGGAAGGAAAGGGAAGACUGUGGCCAGGAAUCAAAAAACCUAGACAAAGAGUUGCAUGGUGGCAAACAGACUUAUAUGGGCCUGGGCUAUAGACCAGAGAGCUCACAAAAGGUGGUAAAGGACAGACCUUCCCAGUGCCCAGCCUUUUCCUGUGCUUCCCAUUGGCUGAAAUCGAAGGAAAGCCAGAAACUUGGCAUCAUGGGAUGUCAUCUGACAAAGGGAAGAAUGGCUCUGGCAUGAGGAUGGGGAAAAGGAAACUUCUGUCUUCUUGGAACACCUGAGACAAGAGAAUGAUGAAUGGCAGCCUGGAGAUCAGCCUGGAGCCACACCUUGCCCUUUGAGUAGCCUCUCCCAUGACAAUCAACACUUUUCUAGAGCCUGGAGGCUGCUGUCGCAGGAUCUGGAUCUCCUUGCACCAUCCUCUCUGUCUUCUUCUGAGAAUAUCAUUGAGCCAACCUACCUUCCUCCGGUGGGAAGAUAUACUUCUGCACAGCCCUUCCUGGGAGAUAUUUACCACCUGGAUUCCAUGUGAACUGAUUCCACCAGGAAUUUGUGCAGUGUCUAUAAAGCAGGUUCCAGCUCAUGAAGGACAAAGGCUGGCAGCAAGGACUAAGCUGAGAUUAUCAUGCCCUUGGGACUGACUUGAGUUCAAAAUGCUGUGUGACCUAAGCCAAGAAGUAGCAGAAGUCACAUUAGGAUCCUUUGUCACAUUCUGAAGGUGGAUCUCCACACCUCAUCAGACCAGCACACCUGCUUUAGUCUAGGCCUCUUCUAGAAGCCAGCAUGACAUUCCAGUGCACGCCACAUCACUGUACAAUACAUGUCUUGUGCACAGGUGUGCUGCUCUGUCCCUGUCCCCCAGCAAGGUAGCUGGAGGUGUCAACCCAAAUAGAUCCUGAAAUCUGUUCAGCACUCUCAUUCCAAUCAUGAAGGUAGCUCACCUUGACUGUAACAUUCAUCUCAUGUCAGACAUUGAUCUAUGCUUUUCAUUAGCAGAUUUAAUCCUCUCAGCAAUACAAUGAGGAAACUGAAACAUGAAGAGACCAAGUGGCUGUCCAAGUCCACAAGCUAGAAAAGGGAAGACAGCCUCCUAGCAGGGCCAAUGCUCUUAGCCACAUAUCUUAUGUACAUGGGGGCCAUGCCUAGUUUUAAAAAGACAGUUGUGUCUAUGUGUCUGCAGCUACAUCUUUAUACUGUGGGGAAAACGUGGGGCCUAGACUGAAGAAUGUGUGGGUCAGAAAGUGGCUCUCCCACCACCAAGGUUGUUGGUCAUCUCUGAACACUCAAAAUCAGGCCAAUGUUCUCUCUGUCCAUCUGCUGUGACUGGAAAGGGGUGUUCAGUGCAAUGAAUACAUUGGCUGUCUGCCUCUUUGCAGUGAUCAGACUGACAAGACCCAUCUUUGACCCUGUUGAGUUUGGGUCCAAUGAGUAUGGAGAGUAUAAGAGAGUGAGUUAAAUGGUUGUGUAGUGAGCAUCUGGCACUGCUAGGAGAUGCUCUAGAAAUCACUGAUCUCUAUUCAUUUACAUAUUUUACAUAAAAGUCCAGAAGAUGCAUUCUUGUAUCCUGUUACAGUUUGAAUGUGAAGUCUCCCCUCCCCAGCUCAUAUUUUGAAGUUUUGGGCUUUUUCCCCCCCACCACCAAGAUGACAGUGUUAUUCUGGAGGGUCGUACAAUGACUAUGAGGUGUCUGAAGUAGGCCCCUGGUGGCAGCCCUUUCAAGGUCUUGUUUGGCCCCUGCUCUGGGCCCAUUCUCCUCGCUCUCUUGUUCACCGUGCUGAGACAUCUCCUCCACACUUUUCCACUCCCAUGCCUUCCUCACCACCACUGGCUGAAAUCCCUUUUGAUAUUCUGAGCCAAAAUAAACUUCUC